UACGGAGGAUUCAAGCGUUAUCUGGAUUUAUUGGGUUUAAAGGGUGCGUAGGCGGUCGGAUAAGUUAGAGGUGAAAUCCCGGGGCUCAACUUCGGAAUUGCCUCUGAUACUGUUCGGCUAGAGAGUAGUUGCGGUAGGCGGAAUGUAUGGUGUAGCGGUGAAAUGCUUAGAGAUCAUACAGAACACCGAUUGCGAAGGCAGCUUACCAAGCUACUUCUGACGUUGAGGCACGAAAGCGUGGGGAGCAAACAGG
rnacentral:rRNA from 1 species